UCGUGGAGCUGUACAAAAUCAAGAGCGGCAUAGAAAGGCUAACUAGGCUCAUAAGAUGCUUCGGAGAUGAUAGCCCUACACAAAGGAAGAGGACAGAGGACCUCAUUUUCUAAAGGAAGAUCCCUCACACACUUUCAAGACUGUGAAGCCGACAGGUAUUGAAGACACGUUUUCUAAGAGGAUGAAAGUUGGCAUUGCGAUGGUGAAAGAAGAAGACAUCAUCGAUGUGUUGGUUGUCCUUGAGGCAGCAGUAAUCCUGUCUAAUCUGAGGGAUGUCUCAAGUGCCAUUUCCAUGCUGAUGGGCCUUCUUUUUGCCCUCAACAUAC